rnacentral:tRNA from 2 species
GGCGAGGUAGCUCAGUCGGUAGAGCAGUGGACUGAAAAUCCUCGUGUCCGGUGUUCGAUUCACCGCCUCGCCACCA